AGUUUGUUGUAGAGUGUAGACCACAAAGUACCUUUUCUGACAUAAGAACCGACCGUGAAAUUCCUGGCUACGGGCCUGGUGUGCCUGGUAAGGUACUAAUAUCCCCAGGGGACCUUAGAACCGGCUUUUAAGCGCCGUCGUGGUUCCAGCCAUCCGUACCGCGCCUACAAGAGGGAUGGAAGGAAGGAAGGACCCCUCCCCCGCCCUCUCUCCGCUCCGCGCGGUUAGUUUUUCUCCGAACCCAGGCCAGAACGGAGCAGAGUUCCAACCUGAACCUUGGUUUCAAGUGAUAAAUCUUAAGAGAAGGUUUACGAAGUGAAUUGACAAUAAAAUAAAAAAAGAGAAAAAAGAAUACCAUGUUUUUCACAGGUGGGGGAUGAAGAAAGUACAACAACAAGCCGGAGAAGAGAAGAAGGAAAGAAGAAGAAAAACCAAGGAGAAGAUGGAACGGGAGAAGGAGAGGAGAAGAAAAGAAACCAAGGAGAAUAUGGCGUGGAAGAAGGAGAAAGGAAGAGAAAUCAAGGAGAAUAUGGAAAAUACAGAACUAAACCAAAAGAAACUAAAAAAGACUGCUAAGUUAAAAGAAUGUGAGGUUCCAAGAUACGCGCUAGGUAUACUCCUCCUGGUAGGUUUAGUAGGACGGACGGAUGGAUCAUGUCCUCGUUCUUGUUCCUGCUCUCAGGACUAUCUCAGGGUAGAGUGUAUUAAUGCAACUUUAGAGAUCGUUCCUCUAACCCUGCACCCGGAGAUUAGCAACCUUCUCCUCAACUACAACAAGAUACCGGAGGUUGGUCCGGCCUCCUUUCAGUUCCACCCGGAGCUGAGGACGGUUAACCUCGAGCACUCUAACCUCGUCAACCUUCAGGACAAAACGUUCGAGGCUCAGAGAAAACUUGUUGAACUCGAUCUCAGCAACAACGAAGUGACGGUGAUUCGAAAAUUUACAUUUUUUGGUUUGAUCAGUCUGGACAGCCUAGACUUAUCCUUUAACUCUAUUCAAGUUAUAGAUGGAGAGGUUUUUAUUCAUAUGCCGAACCUAACCCAACUGAACCUGGGGAACAAUCAAAUCCGGGAGUUGAAUUCCUCUGCCUUCUCAGGACUAGGUUCGCUCGAGGUUCUCCGCCUUGAGAAUAACAGGAUAGAGAGCGUGGCGGAGGAAGUUUGGGAAUCAUUAUCCAAUCUGAGAUAUCUUCAUUUAGCUCACAAUCAGAUACUAGAGCUUAAUCCUAGACCCUUGAAUACUCUUCAUAUCCUAGAUGUUAGUUUUAAUCCUAGGUUUAAUUACUCCAACCUUAUCCUACCCUCCUCUAUUAGAUCACUGAACCUGACUCAAACAGGAUUACAAUUCAUCCCAACUCCGCUCUUCCAAUUCCUCCCUAGUCUAGAGAUACUAAUCCUAAAUCAAAACAAUCUGACAAGUAUCUCUAGGAACGCGUUCAAGGGAUUGAAAAGACUAAAAAGCCUUGAAAUAAUGGAAAAUAAAAUGUUGGAACAAAUUGACGGAUCAGCUUUCCAGGAUACCCGGAGCCUAACCAGUAUUAAUAUAUCUCACAACCAGGAUUUAUAUCAUCUAGAUCCGGAGAUAGUUUCACAUUUAGAAAACCUGGUUGAUCUGAACCUGGAAAGGAACAGAUUCUACAAUUUGAACCUAGAUCUGGGGGAGCAGGUGUCUCUGGUAGGAGACGGAAACCCCUGGAUGUGUGACUGUAACAUUCAGAGCUUACAAAUCCUUGCUACGGGUCGAAAUAUGACCCUGACCUGCUCGGAACCCGAGAACCUUGCGGGACGAAGUAUCUUAGACUUGGAUCUCUCCUACUGUAAGACCCACCUAGAGAUGUCAGCAACCGGACUCAAGUCUAGGAAAAUAACAAUGAUCAUUGUCCUGGUCGUGGUUCUCUCCAUCUGCCUUACAAUCACCGGGUUUAUCCUGUACUCCUGCAGGACCCGGAUACAGAACCUGCUGAAGGGUCUGAGCUGGAGGAAACCUGAAAUCAAGGAGACCCAGUAUAGUCCGGAGUAUCAGAGAUCGUUUAUACAACAUGAUGAAUACUUUAUUUCCCUGGCUAGACAAACAGAUCCAACCAGACAUAUCCCAGUUACAGAGCUUUAAACAUAAUCCAGGAGAAGAUAAACAGUGAGAACCAGAAAACUCUGGAAUAGGAAGACGACAUUAUAGAAGAAUCAAUAUUUGAUGUUGUUACAAAGCAAAUAGGUUACUUGUACCUUAUUUGAUCCAUUAUUAAGUGAAAUUGUCCUGUUUACGCGGCGCAAUUGCAGUGUCUCAUGUUCAUUGGACUAUUUAAAGUCAUAACUUGAGUCUAAAUGUCGUCUUCAUUUUCCAAAGUUUUCUGGUUCUCACUGUAGUCAAAAACAACAAAGAGAUUCUGAAAACCUAAUUUAAACCUAUUCAGUCAUAUUCUAUUAAAUCAUAUCACAUCUUUGUGUUAUAAUUUACACACCAGGGUGUCUUUAAAAAUCAUUUGAGACCCUGCAGUACAAUUAUACUAUUCUCAAUACUCUAGUUACAAACUGAUCUAGUUCUUAGCUUUAAGAUAUAUACACUCCUAAACAUGUUACAUUAUCAUAUCAAAUUCAAAAUUCUGCAGAAAAUAUUUUACGAUUGCAUAUUUUAAACUUUGCAGUACGAAAACUUAAAAAUAUUGUAAAUAAGAUAAUUUUUGAUCUGGUAUGUCGUUAUUCAAGUACUGAAUUCUUCUCACAAACUCAGAUUUUCCCAUUCCUUUAUCUUUCCAACCUGAUGGUUUAAACUCUUGACAUUUCUAACUUGGACAAUUUGAUUUAGAAAUAUUAAAGAUCUACGUUAUCAGGUUUAAAAGAUUUUGUGCCGAGUUGAGUUUCUUUAAAAUGGAAUUGAGUCUUUGCCACAAAGUCUGAUUUUCUAAUUCCUAUAUAUUUUCAACCCUAUGUCGUAGAUCUGAA
rnacentral:misc_RNA from 1 species